ensembl:lncRNA
UGUGUGCCUGCUCUCUAUGAGCCAAUUUAUAUUUCAAAUUGUUCCCUGCUUUAAUGUUGGAUACAAUCAGAAAAUCUCCUCCCUGAUCGGUAAAAAUAAUCCAUCUUGCCUGUGAGUCCCAGGUGUGUGAACACAAACAAUUUUUCAAUGUUGUAGAAUUGUUUGGAGACAGGAAGACGAGGGGACCUAUUUUGGGAUUGCUCGUUUAUUAUUUAAUGCUGCUCCCUAUCGCACUUUUUCUGCUCUCUCUCUACAACUCAAAAAUCUUACCUAAAGCAGCUUUAAUUAAACAAGUAUUGUUUCAUCUCCCUUUUGACGGAUGUAACAGUCUAACCAUUAUCUAUCCAGCGCUGAACUUACCAUUGAAAUAGACCGACUGUCAAGUUAACGUGGGCUCCGUCGGUCUUUGACUCUCUCUUGAUGUGAAGAAAGAAAGGAAUGAAAGACAGCUUCAGGGUUGGAUCUUGAAUCAGCCACUUCAGUCAGGUGUGUCUCUGUCUCUCUUUGGCCACUUGGGGGCGCUCACUACUUGCCCCCACUACACUAUUUGAUACAGAUCUAUGGGUACAGGCUCUCAAUGUUAUUGGCAUUUCAUACCGCAUAUAUUUGCCUUUGAAUUUCCCCGCAAAAGACACUUUGGCAAGUCUUUGUUUUUUAUUUUGUUGUACUUUUAAUUUGCUGUCUUUCUUUGUGGCUAUCUUUCCCCCCCGUCAUUUUGAUUCCACCUCUUUCGAUUGUCAACCUUAGAUUUCCUCCUGCUCAAUGCAGCCUAGAGGCAUCUUCCCUCAAGACAAAAAUAAUAAAUAAGAGAUAGUCAUUAUUUUUUUCUGCAGUGCGCCAAGUCUUGCAACUUGAACCCAAGAUGAACUAUAUAGAACUCACCGACCAUCUCAGAACCGUCCAGGAACAUGCGGUUGGUGGCAAUGAAUAAGAAGUAAAAGAAAAAAAAAGCGGAAAUCUACCCUCACAGCAGCUGUUAAUCAUCUCAUAAUGGUGUUGUUGUCGUCCUAAAUGGAGUCUUCUUCAGUGAUGAAGGUCUUCCUCCUCUUCUACCUCCCUUUCCUUUAAACAGUAAUCAAGUCCGGCCCGAAGGACUCUGCGUGCCGUGCGUGUGUGAUGUCAUUUGCGUCAGUUAUAUUUUGGUCUUGGGUUAGCUCACAAAUGACUCCCAAAAGACCAACUGUCAAAAGGAAAAGCACGCUACUGCUGUCUGUUGUCCGAGCCUACAGAGUAUAAGUGUUUUUUUUUUGGGGUGUGGGUGGGGGGUGUUUGGUUGUAAAAACUGUAUGUAAGAUGAAGGGAACAAUGUUAAUGAUCACAGAAACAAACGUUGAAGAUUGACAUUAUAAUAAUAAUAAAUGUUUAGAAAUUAAUAUCACAAUUCGUUUUUAUACACAUUACUUCGCUAUAGACAAAGUUGUGUUAAGUGAAAGAAGCAGGGUAGUUAAGACUGCUGAAAGGGUAUGAUGAACACCCACACAGGUUGGUCAAACAUUAGCCAAUGAGUGUUUCGUUUUUUUCUGUUUCAUCACAAUAUCAAGUAAUUGUGUACUCUUUAAGAGUUAUUUUAAGUGGCCCAUUAAAAUAGCCGUCAUUGUUGCCUCUGUCUCCUCUUUUUCUUUGUCGAGCUCAAUGUUAUUGGUGCAUGAGAUGUGUUUUUAGCAAAAAUACCUCUUGUUAUGUUGUGCUUCUUUCUGCAAGUAAAGCAGCUCAUACAUCAUGA